rnacentral:Y_RNA from 1 species
GGCUGGUCUGAGUGCAGUGGUGUUUACGACUAAUUGAUCACAACCAGUUACAGAUUUCUUUGUUCCUUCCCCACUCUGCUUCACUCAACUAGCCUUAA